rnacentral:rRNA from 1 species
AGAGUUUGAUCCUGGCUCAGAACGAACGCUGGCGGCGUGCCUAACACAUGCAAGUCGAACGAGAAAGGGGCUUCGGUCCUGAGUAAAGUGGCGCACGGGUGAGUAACACGUAGGUAACCUGCCUCUAAGAUCGGGAUAACCCGUCGAAAGACGAGCUAAUACCGGAUAAGACCACGGUCCCUUCGGGGACAGGGGUCAAAGUUAGCCUCUGCAUGCAAGCUAUCACUUAGAGAUGGGCCUGCGCACCAUUAGCUAGUUGGUAGGGUAACGGCCUACCAAGGCAAAGAUGGUUAGCUGGUCUGAGAGGAUGAUCAGCCACACUGGAACUGAGAUACGGUCCAGACUCCUACGGGAGGCAGCAGUGGGGAAUAUUGCGCAAUGGGCGAAAGCCUGACGCAGCAACGCCGCGUGGGUGAUGAAGGCCUUCGGGUCGUAAAGCUCUGUUGUUAGGGAAGAACACGUACGAGAGUAACUGCUCGUACCUUGACGGUACCUAACCAGAAAGCCACGGCUAACUACGUGCCAGCAGCCGCGGUAAUACGUAGGUGGCAAGCGUUAUCCGGAAUUAUUGGGCGUAAAGCGCGCGCAGGCGGUUUCUUAAGUCUGAUGUGAAAGCCCACGGCUCAACCGUGGAGGGUCAUUGGAAACUGGGAAACUUGAGUACAGAAGAGGAAAGCGGAAUUCCACGUGUAGCGGUGAAAUGCGUAGAGAUGUGGAGGAACACCAGUGGCGAAGGCGGCUUUCUGGUCUGUAACUGACGCUGAGGCGCGAAAGCGUGGGGAGCAAACAGGAUUAGAUACCCUGGUAGUCCACGCCGUAAACGAUGAGUGCUAAGUGUUAGAGGGUUUCCGCCCUUUAGUGCUGAAGUUAACGCAUUAAGCACUCCGCCUGGGGAGUACGGCCGCAAGGCUGAAACUCAAAGGAAUUGACGG